UUGGUUGGAAGAGAGGAAAUGAUGGAGGAAACGUAGACGUCACUGUGUGUGCGGAGUCAAGAGAACGCACCCAUUCACGCCUGGUCGAAACGCAGCAGGCGACCGAUCCCGGGUGGUGCUGGGAGCCCACGAGAGGAGGAAGUCAUGGCUCUGCAGGCCACAUUUACUAAGGUGCCAAGUUGUCCCUCAGCUCCACGAACAGUCGACACCUUUUCAGACGGGCGCUUCACUUUAUUUGCAGAUUGCCGCCAUCUUUUUUU